ACAGGGAAAAAAGAAUAUGGUUAAGGAAGUGCUGCGAUUGCAGCAUUCAAAGGUUAUGAAGAAGAAGUCCAGGACGAGGCUACCGAGCUCUGAAUCGGAUAUAUCAGAUGAUGACGGUGCAGUUGUACCAGAACAGUAUCUGCUUGAUGCACAAGAAAAGAUUCGUGUCCUCAAGGGGGAAAUAAAGAGCCUCCGAAAGCAGCUUGAGGAGGAAAGGGCGCUGUGCCAUGAAGUGCAGCGGUCUCUGCUAGCGGAACUGGCGAGACCGAAGAGGGUCGAUGUGCUGGACCAGGAAC